rnacentral:rRNA from 1 species
AUUUCUUCGGAUUGAAGCCUUGGUGACUGAGCGGCGGACGGGUGAGUAACGCGUGGGUAACCUGCCUCAUACAGGGGGAUAACAGUUGGAAACGGCUGCUAAUACCGCAUAAGCGCACAGUACCGCAUGGUACGGUGUGAAAAACUCCGGUGGUAUGAGAUGGACCCGCGUCUGAUUAGGUAGUUGGUGGGGUAACGGCCUACCAAGCCGACGAUCAGUAGCCGACCUGAGAGGGUGACCGGCCACAUUGGGACUGAGACACGGCCCAAACUCCUACGGGAGGCAGCAGUGGGGAAUAUUGCACAAUGGGGGAAACCCUGAUGCAGCGACGCCGCGUGAGCGAUGAAGUAUUUCGGUAUGUAAAGCUCUAUCAGCAGGGAAGAAAAUGACGGUACCUGACUAAGAAGCCCCGGCUAACUACGUGCCAGCAGCCGCGGUAAUACGUAGGGGGCAAGCGUUAUCCGGAUUUACUGGGUGUAAAGGGAGCGUAGACGGCAUGGCAAGCCAGAUGUGAAAGCCCGGGGCUCAACCCCGGGACUGCAUUUGGAACUGUCAGGCUAGAGUGUCGGAGAGGAAAGCGGAAUUCCUAGUGUAGCGGUGAAAUGCGUAGAUAUUAGGAGGAACACCAGUGGCGAAGG